UCUUGCUCGGCGUGUGUGAGGAAAUUUUGGACGCCCCCUACGGCGCCAACUCGGCCGAUAACUCGGCA
rnacentral:ribozyme from 1 species